rnacentral:rRNA from 1 species
AACGAACGCUGGCGGCGCGCUUAACACAUGCAAGUCGAACGAGAAGGCGUAGCAAUACGCUUGUACAGUGGCGAACGGGUGAGUAAUACGUGGGCGACCUACCCUCGAGUGGGGAAUAACCCGCCGAAAGGCGGGCUAAUGCCGCGUACGCUUCCAUCUUUAUGGAGGUGGAAGGAAAGCCGUGCCGUGGGCACGGCGCUCAAGGAUGGGCUCACGUCCUAUCAGCUUGUUGGAGGGUAACGGCCUACCAAGGCUCCGACGGGUAGCUGGUCUGAGAGGACGAUCAGCCACACUGGCACUGCGACACGGGCCAGACUCCUACGGGAGGCAGCAGUGAGGAAUAUUGCGCAAUGGGCGAAAGCCUGACGCAGCGACGCCGCGUGGGGGAUGAAGGUC